UGCCUGGGAAUAAUAGCCGCGAUUAUACAAUCAAGGCUCAUGCAUGUAAUGGUCAUAAGGAAAAAAUUCCCAUAAAGUGUUUAAAUUUCGUUGAAUUGUCAUCCGAGAGCGAACGAGAAAGCGUAAUAAAAAAAUUUAAUGCGUUAGAAAGAGAUAUCGCUAAAGUUUUCUUGGCGCGAAGCUGAAACCAAGAAACUGACAAGUAGGAUAACGCAAAUUUUGAUUUUACUUUUCUGGAUAAUUCGUCGUAAAGUAGAAUACCGACAGUCUUGGUCUUUAUUUUGAUUUUUAUCUUGAUCUGAAAGGUGUCUCUAUCCUAGAAUACCACCCAAUAUCCGCCAAACACAAAAGUACAAAACCAAUAAAGAAUGGAAAAUAGAAAAUAGAAAAUUAAAAAUUAAAAAGAAAAUUCUGAGGAAAUCCCUAAUGAGUGAAACCACUGAAGAAGACCCGCUAUUAGGGUCGAAAGCUUUGGUUUUAAUUGCUGCUUUUCCUUGGGUGAGCGGGAAUUCCUUCUGACGAACACCGGAAACCUUGAAAAACGAAGAAAACAAAAUUCGAAAAAUCGCUAGAACAUUUUUUCAGCAUAAUAGGUUCUAAAAGAAAAUAAUCAGUCUAAUGAGCAAAGCAUUGAAGCAUAUGUUCCAUGCAUGUAAAGGGGAAAAGGCGUGGCUUUACAUUUUUCUUUGCCUGUUCGAAAUUUUUUAAGCAAAUUUUAUAUGUAAAAAGAAAAAAUCUCUGAAUUUUCAUGAAUAUGAUUUGUUUUUUUUUUCAAACUCUUCAUUAUUUCAUUAAUUGUAGGCAGGCAAACUCUAAAAAAUCCUUUUUUUAUAAUACUACAGUAUUAGUACACAAAAUUUUAACGAUUCAAAUCUCAUGUUUCAAUGAACUUCCUUAAUUAGGAAAAUGGUCGUGCAGCUACGGAAAAUCGUGGUUUAAUAAAGAAAAUUAUUUGCAUUUUUUCGUGCAGAAAAAUCACGAUUGUCGCUCCUUUUAGCCACAUAAAAUGGAAAAAGAAUAAAAGUUUCAUUGUCUGUUUAUUUUUCAUUACAAACGGUUGUGUUGAUUUUUCUUGCCAAAAAAUUUUCUUUGUGUGAUUUUAAAAAUAAGGAAAUUCCUGCUAAAUUGGAGAUUGAUUGUAAAAAAAAUGAAAUUAAUGGUUUUAAUGAUUUUCAUUGGUUUCUGCUAUGGAAAGCCACUUAGUUUGAAUUUUCUGAAUCCUGUUGAUCCUGUUAAGCAAUUUGAAAUAUUUUGUGCACAAAAUCCAUCAACAGACGAUACCAUGGAAGAUCCUAAUGAUUGUUCUAAAUACUACGAGUGCAACAAUGGACAAGUAGAAUCAGUUUCUUGCCCCGAAGGAUUUUUUUAUGACGAAGAAGAUGACGAGUGUUAUCAACCAACUGCACUUGAAAUAAGGAUGUGUUCUGGAAUUGUAAAUGCAGCAUUAGGCCCAAGAGAUUUAUACUUAGAUAUAUAUGACAAUAUACGUUUCGAAUAUCAACCUCAGCGUUCCCUCGAUCUUGCACGCUUUCUGGCAGGUUCCUCAGGAGGAAAUGCAGUAAGUGUAACAUUCAAUGAAUCUUAUUAUAAGAAAUAGAAAUUUAAUCUCUUUACGACAUUUAUUGAUGCAAUUAACGAUUUUAUUCACAAGAAAAAUAUGUUUAAUAUUUUUAUUUUCUAAUGUUUUUUGCCUCUUAUUUUGAUUUUGAAGAUUUUUUUUUAACAUUUCCAGAAGUAAUCUCGUUAAUCUAUUCAAUGAUUCAAUUUUCACAUUUUUUUUGGUUAUGGAAAUAAAAAUUGUAAAACAAA